rnacentral:rRNA from 1 species
AUGUGCUUGAAACCCAGAGAAUUUGGCGGUAUUUUACUCCAUUUAGAGGAACCUGUCCUGUAAUUGAUAAUCCACGAUGAUAAAAUACUUGUUUUUGUUAUCAGUUUGUAUACCUCCGUCAGAAGAGUAUCUUUUUAGAGAUAAAUAUUCUAUUAAUAUUAAAUAUAAGAUGUCAGGUCAAGGUGCAAUUUAUAGACAAGUAGAGAUGGGUUACAAUAAAUUUAUUUAUACGAAUAUAAAUUUUUAUUAUUUAUUGAAGGUGGAUUUAAAAGUAAAAUUAAAAUCUUAUUAUUUUGAUUAUGGCUCUAAAAUAUGUACACAUCGCCCGUCGCUCUUAUUAUAAGAUAAGAUAAGUCGUAACAUAGUAGAUGUACCGGAAGGUGUAUCUAGAAAGUUCAAGUUAGAACUUGA